AUUGAACGCUGGCGGCAGGCUUAACACAUGCAAGUCGAGCGGAGAUGAGGUGCUUGCACCUUAUCUUAGCGGCGGACGGGUGAGUAAUGCUUAGGAAUCUGCCUAUUAGUGGGGGACGACAUUCCGAAAGGAAUGCUAAUACCGCAUACGUCCUACGGGAGAAAGCAGGGGAUCUUCGGACCUUGCGCUAAUAGAUGAGCCUAAGUCGGAUUAGCUAGUUGGUGGGGUAAAGGCCUACCAAGGCGACGAUCUGUAGCGGGUCUGAGAGGAUGAUCCGCCACACUGGGACUGAGACACGGCCCAGACUCCUACAGGAGGCAGCAGUGGGGAAUAUUGGACAAUGGGGGAAACCCUGAUCCAGCCAUGCCGCGUGUGUGAAGAAGGCCUUAUGGUUGUAAAGCACUUUAAGCGAGGAGGAGGCUACUGAGACUAAUACUCUUGGAUAGUGGACGUUACUCGCAGAAUAAGCACCGGCUAACUCUGUGCCAGCCGCCGCGGUAA
rnacentral:rRNA from 1 species